UUCUUCAUACUCUCUACCAUCUCCACGAGAAAAACCCACCCAAAAUCUCCAACCUCAACCUUCUCCAUCUCCACCGUCCGGCCACACCAAAGAAACUAUUUUCUCACCGGCGGCGACCCACAACCCGUUUUGGCCGGCCACUGAAGGAGACGCGUUUCGACGUUUCGGCACUCUGUUUCUCUCUGUCUCUCUAUCAAACGCGUUUCGGACCACUCAGAAGGAAGAACGUUUUGGCCGGCACGCUUGACGGCGACGCGUGGCUGACGGACUCGAAUCUCUAGUUUCACGCGAAUGAACUUGAACUUAUCAGCUCCCCACCCGAACUCGAAAUUCAACUUCUGCAACUCCAAUACACUCCACGAGGCUAGCGAACAGUGUCCAUUGCACUUUUGGGUGUUCAAAUUCCUAAUUCUUUAGAGGUAAACAAAUGCAAUUGGCUGGCUUCACCUCUUCAAACUACAAAGACUUCUGCUGAGGGGCUUUGAAGUAAAUGGAAAAACAAAGUUGUUGAUCCAUCAUCAAAUGACCUGAGAUCCCCGGGUUAACCAACGCCCUACACAAUGGACAUGUCCGUUCCCUCUCAAACCUGCACAUAGCACCAACCAGUCCAAAAUCGGUAUUGAAGUGAACAAUAUAUUAAGAACACUAAAGGUAGGUAAGUUGGCAUUUUUUGCCCCCAUUCUCCUUCCCUUGGACGUUUUAGUUCCGAAGUCUUGGUUAAUAAAAGUAGGACAAAAAAUGGAAGUUUUAUUUGAAAUCUCGUUUGGAACUAGAUAACAAGACUCAAAAAUCAAAAUACCAAGUAAUUUGAAGUACACCCUCUAAGUUCGCUCAUGAUUAAACCACCCCAAUGUUGGAUUGCCUUCUCCUUUUUUUACGUAGCUUGAAGUGUCUACUUACAUUAUUCAGUUUGCAUUUAGAAGAAAGCAAUGGAUGUGUGGAUCUUGAAUUUGAAAUGAACUUCCUUAUUUCUUGUGGAUAGGCACAAAACAUCUCACAUAAAAUGCACAUAUGAUUUCUAUUACUUCAAAAACAUCUCUCUCUAUCUAUAUCUUAUGGAAUAAGAACAAUUCUUAGUCAAAACUCUCUCUUUCUCUCUAUCACAAGGAAUUAGACCCAUUAUUUUUCUCCCUUUUUCCCACCUUUUUUCAUUACGUGGGUUGAUUCGAACUUCAAAGACAAUAAUUAUUAUUAUUAUUUGAUGGUGGGUAAGUUUGACUUAAUUCUAUAUUAGAGUAACGGAGACCAAUUUUUCUCAUGCUUCUUCCAUAUCAUUUUACUUUGUUCAUCUCUCUUACUAGGUUUCUUUUACUUUGUUCCCAUUUCUAUCUAUGUUUUUCAUCCCUCUUUAUGCCUUUUAACUUUUGAGGUCUCCAUUUUUCUUUUCUCAAAUAUCAUAGUAGGUCUCCCUUCUCUCUCUCUGAGUUCUUCCUUUUUUUUUUAUCUCUUUUAAAAAACUUUCCCCCUAUCUUCCUUUAAUUGUUAUAAUUCCACUUCUCUCAAAGAUUUGUUUAAUAAGUCUUGAUUUGUUAAGGAUCCUGUCACUCUUUUGCACAGGACAAACUCAUGAAAGAUCUAAGCAUUGAGAAAUGGUUGGCAUCAGGAAUCUUACAUCCUGUUACAAUGCAUAACCUUCAUGAUCCUUCUUUUGUUCCUAAUAAUACUCUUCGUCAUUUAUUGUUAUUGGGGUAGUUUUCUAAGAAUUGAAUUGUAGGUGAUAUUUUGUGGCAAUUGUAGACAAUUGUAGGCAAUUGUUAUUUGACUUUUCAUCCAUUAUUUGUGUGAUAUUUUACAAUUUACAUAUGACUUUGAUUCUAAUACCUGAAUUUCUAACUUAGGUACUUUAAGCGUUGUACUUAUUAUGGAUCGAUGUUGGAUAAAUUUAAGAGAUCGAGCUUCUAAUGAAUAUUCUGAUGGUGUUGCUAACUUUAUCGAAAUUGCAACUAAAUAUUUAGACGAAGAGGGAAGAACAAGAUGUCCUUGUUCAAAUUGUCUGAACAACAAUUGGAAUAUAUUAGAUGUCGUAGAAUGUCAUUUGUAUUAAUAUGGUAUGUCCCCGACUUAUAGGCGAUGGACAUUCCAUGGAGAUACAGUUGAUCUUUCUCCAUUUUUGAGAUCUAAGUCGAGGUUUCUAGGUGCAACAUUUUCCAAUUUAAGUGAACAUAGAGAAGAGAAUGUAAAUCUUAGAGAAAACAUUGAAGCUAGAGAUACUAUGGAUGAUGAGAUGCUAGAGAUGAUUCAUGAUCUACAUGGGCCACUUUUCGAAGAAACUAAAAGAAAAUCAAACGAGCAAGAUGAGUCCGAUAAAAUAAGUGGAAUAUUUCCUGAAAUAGAAGAAGAGUUAUAUCCGGGAUAUCUAAAGUUCACUUCGUUUAAUUUUUUAGUGAAACUUAUGCACAUUAGGGUGCUUAAUUGUUGGAGCAACAAAUCCUUUGAUAUGUUGCGUGAAUCAUUAAAAAAAGCCUUUCCAGAUGGUGUGAAACUACAUGCCUCCUAUUAUGAGUCUAAGAAAAGACUACGUGAUCGUUGGGAACGAGAAAACUUUAAGAGUAGAUCUGAAGAAAAUACCAAGGCAUGAUCUAAACUUCUAUUCACUCAUCGAGGUGGAACUACAACAUUUAUACGCCAUAAGCAGAAAAAGGAUGAAAUGAUGGAAUUAAAAACCACCUCAUCACAAUAAGGGAGUGAACCUCUUAUGGAAAGAGAAAUAUGUGAACAAGUAUUGGGUAAGCGGUCGGAGCAUGUGAAAGGACAAGAUUGGGGACCAAGACCCAAGAAUACUAGAAAUGAAACAAUUCAACAAAGCACAAAAGAAACAAAUGCGAAGAUCGCACACUUGCAAAGAAUGGUUGAAUCGCUUCUAGCUACAAUUGAAGCGAUUUUAAGAAGGUUACAUGUCAAGAAGCUACCUUCGAACAAAGUUUAGAACAAUCAAAUGAUAGUCAACAUAUAGUUUUUUCAACUUAAUUAGUUUGAUAUAAAGUGUCAGAUUAGAGUAAUAUAUACAAACAUUAUAUAUUAUGAAUUAAUAUCUAUUCUACAGUUAUGGUAAUUGUAGAUUCGUUCUUGUGAUGAUUUUGGUGUUUUGUGAUUAGAAUAUUAUGGAGUGUCAUUUUGAUUUU